UAACGCGUGAGGAACCUGCCUUUCAGAGGGGGACAACAGUUGGAAACGACUGCUAAUACCGCAUAAUACGCGGGUGUCGCAUGGCAUCUGCGUCAAAGAUUUAUCGCUGAGAGAUGGCCUCGCGUCUGAUUAGCUAGUUGGUGAGGUAACGGCCCACCAAGGCGACGAUCAGUAGCCGGACUGAGAGGUUGGCCGGCCACAUUGGGACUGAGAUACGGCCCAGACUCCUACGGAAGGCAGCAG
rnacentral:rRNA from 1 species